UCCGGUAUGGUGUAUCGGUUAACAUAUGUGCUUUUCAUUGCAAUCUCCAAUGACCUUCGCACGUGCGCGGGGUUCGACUCCCCGUACCGGAA